GUCUGGUGCCAGCAGCCGCGGUAAUUCCAGCUCCAAUAGCGUAUAUUAAAGUUGUUGCAGUUAAAAAGCUCGUAGUUGAAUUUCGGGAUCAAAUUGUCGGUCGUGCCUCGGUACGCACUGGCGUUAUUGGUUCCUCCCUUCUGAAGAACCGCGAUGUCAUUAAUUUGGUGUCGCGGGGAAUCAGGACUGUUACUUUGAAAAAAUUAGAGUGUUUAAAGCAAGCUCGCGCUUGAAUACAUUAGCAUGGAAUAAUGAAAUAGGACGUUUGAUUCUAUUUUGUUGGUUUCUAGGAUCGACGUAAUGAUUAAUAGGGAUAGUUGGGGGCAUUAGUAUUCAAUUGUCAGAGGUGAAAUUCUUGGAUUUAUUGAAGACUAACUACUGCGAAAGCAUUUGCCAAGGAUGUUUUCAUUAAUCAAGAACGAAAGUUAGGGGAUCGAAGACGAUCAGAUACCGUCGUAGUCUUAACCAUAAACUAUGCCGACUAGGG
rnacentral:rRNA from 1 species